GGCAACUUGUCCGAGUGGUCUAAGGAGCUAGAUUUAGGUCAAUUCUUGAAUUGUUCAAAACUCUAGUCUGCAAAGGCGUGGGUUCGAAUCCCACAGUUGUCA